rnacentral:tRNA from 1 species
AGAAGUUUAGGAUAGUCAGUCCAAGAGCCUUCAAAGCCCUAAGCAAACCCAUAAGUUUAACUUCUG